rnacentral:rRNA from 1 species
AUGGCAAAGGGCAGNUACCUGGCGACAGGAUGCUAAUCUCCAAACCAUGUCUCAGUUCGGAUCGGAGUCUGCAACUCGACUCCGUGAAGCUGGAUUCGCUAGUAAUCGCGCAUCAGCCAUGGCGCGGUGAAUACGUUCCCGGGCCUUGUACACACCGCCCGUCAAGCCAUGGGAGCCGGGGGUACCUGAAGUCCGUAACCGCAAGGAUCGGCCUAGGGUAAAACUGGUGACUGGGGCUAAGUCGUAACAAGGUAUC